UACAGAGGUCCCAAGCGUUGUUCGGAUUCACUGGGCGUAAAGGGUGCGUUAGGCGGUCGGGUAAGUCUGAUGUUGAAAUCUCACAGCUUAACUGUGAAACUGCAUUGGAUACUAUCCGGCUCGAGGAAUGGAGGGGAGACUGGAAUACUUGGUGUAGCAGUGAAAUGCGUAGAUAUCAAGUGGAACACCAGUGGCGAAGGCGGAUGGUCUGGGCCGGUACUGACGCUGAGGAGCGAAAGCGUGGGGAGCGAACAGG
rnacentral:rRNA from 1 species